rnacentral:lncRNA from 1 species
UGUAUUUUUUUGUUUGUUUGUUUAAAUAAAUAAAAAAAAAUUUAAAAGCUAGUGCUUAGUAGAGGUUGGAAGGAAGCAUAAUGAGGUGGGUCACAUUUCACAUAGGAGAGAUGCUGCAGAGCAAAGAGCAGCGUGUAUUUAUAGCAUGGACCUAAAAACAGGAUGAUGGCUGCUGAUGGGGAGGGAAACAGGAAAAAGAAAAGUCAUAAGAAGUGUGGUCUCUUAGGAUCCAUCUCCCAUGAUUCAAGAAGUGUAACCUGCCCGCUGAGAAUCUCCCCUGGACAGGAAUUUGCCAGCCAUGGGAUGGGGCCAUCUUGGAAGUGGAUCCUUCAGCCUUAGUCCAGCUGACAUCUAGUGGAGCAGAGAUGAAUUGUCCCCACCGGGCUCUGGCCAAAUGAUAGAUUGGUGAGUAAAAUAAUGAAUUGUUUUAAAGUAGUUAGUUUUGAAGUGAUUUGUUAUAUAGAAAUAUAGAUAACUGAACUAUUUCCCUUGAAUAGGAGCUGGCUGGCCAAUAAAAUGUUGAAGAGGUGAUGUUUAGCUUAUACC